rnacentral:rRNA from 1 species
GAUGAACGCUGGCGGCGUGCCUAAUACAUGCAAGUCGAGCGAACGGACGAGAAGCUUGCUUCUCUGAUGUUAGCGGCGGACGGGUGAGUAACACGUGGAUAACCUACCUAUAAGACUGGGAUAACUUCGGGAAACCGGAGCUAAUACCGGAUGAUAUUUUGAACCGCAUGGUUCAAAAGUGAAAGACGGUCUUGCUGUCACUUAUAGAUGGAUCCGCGCUGCAUUAGCUAGUUGGUAAGGUAACGGCUUACCAAGGCAACGAUGCAUAGCCGACCUGAGAGGGUGAUCGGCCACACUGGAACUGAGACACGGUCCAGACUCCUACGGGAGGCAGCAGUAGGGAAUCUUCCGCAAAGGGCGAAAGCCUGACGGAGCAACGCCGCGUGAGUGAUGAAGGUCUUCGGAUCGUAAAACUCUGUUAUUAGGGAAAAACAUAUGUGUAAGUAACUGUGCACAUCUUGACGGUACCUAAUCAGAAAGCCACGGCUAACUACGUG